rnacentral:rRNA from 1 species
AGUGAACGCUGGCGGUAGGCCUAACACAUGCAAGUCGAACGGCAGCACAGUAAGAGCUUGCUCUUACGGGUGGCGAGUGGCGGACGGGUGAGGAAUACAUCGGAAUCUACUUUUUCGUGGGGGAUAACGUAGGGAAACUUACGCUAAUACCGCAUACGACCUACGGGUGAAAGCAGGGGAUCUUCGGACCUUGCGCGAUUGAAUGAGCCGAUGUCGGAUUAGCUAGUUGGCGGGGUAAAGACCCACCAAGGCGACGAUCCGUAGCUGGUCUGAGAGGAUGAUCAGCCACACUGGAACUGAGGCACGGUCCAGACUCCUACGGGAGGCAGCAGUGGGGAAUAUUGGACAAUGGGCGCAAGCCUGAUCCAGCCAUACCGCGUGGGUGAAGAAGGCCUUCGGGUUGUAAAGCCCUUUUGUUGGGAAAGAAAAGCAGCAGGUUAAUACCCCGCUGUUCUGACGGUACCCAAAGAAUAAGCACCGGCUAACUUCGUG